GCGACCCCAGGUCAGGCGGGACUACCCGCUGAAUUUAAGCAUAUA
rnacentral:rRNA from 1 species